AUCAACUAUCUCUCCCUUGGGAGAAGCUUUUAAAAGCUCAAGUUGAUCAGCUUUGGUUUUAAACUACGUUAUUAUUGUUUUUAUGAACAUCGGGUUACACGAUUCAGAUAAAACUAGGUUUCCAAAUUUAGCACUGAUGAAGUUAUCUGCUUAUCAUAAAGGAU
rnacentral:ncRNA from 1 species